rnacentral:rRNA from 1 species
UCGAGAAUAAUUCGCAAUGGACGAAAGUCUGACGAUGCGACGCCGCGUGGGGGAUGAAGUCUUUCGGGAUGUAAACCCUUGUUGUACGGGACGAAAACAAUGACGGUACCGUACGAGGAAGCCCCGGCAAACUACGUGCCAGCAGCCGCGGUAAUACGUAGGGGGCAAGCGUUGUCCGGAUUUACUGGGUGUAAAGGGUGCUCAGGCGGAUUUGUAAGUCAGAGGUGAAAUCUCACAGCUUAACUGUGAAACUGCCUUUGAUACUGCAAGUCUAGAGUAUGGAAGAGAGUGAUGGAAUGUCUGGUGUAGCAGUGAAAUGCGUAGAUAUCAGAUAGAACACCAAUGGCGAAGGCAGUCACUUGGUCCAUUACUGACGCUAAAGCACGAAAGCGUGGGUAGCAAACA